rnacentral:ncRNA from 1 species
GCGAUGAAGCGAAAGGUUGCUGGCGGUAUGUCAGGUAAUUUUCGUGGAGUAUGUCCGAUUUAAAACCGGGCG